CGAAGACGAGGCGGAAAUCUGCUCAUCUGAGAUCUUUCCUGAUUCCAUGCCAAACACAGUGUUGCAGUGGAAGCCUAGGGACGAGACACAAAGAAAGAUCAAAACAUCAAACGUCUGACUGACACAACUUCCUCUAAAAAUAUCACCCAGGGCUCCUGUAUUACUGAUGAGCCUUUUAUUUUUUUCUAAUGGAAUGUCCCGUGUGCAUGCGCCACCUCACCGGACUGGGAACUCGGCCCUGUGGUUACAGAGUCGGACGACCUGACGGACGACGGAAGCAGGAUGGAGACAGACGGAGUGGAAGAUCAGUUGUUCGCUGGCGUUGAAGUAAAAAUGUAUAAACUCUUAAAUUAACACAUCAAAUAAGUUCAGUUAGGAAGUGGGAAUGUAGGAAAAUAUCAGCUAACACAGGCUAAACUCAUCAGCUCUGGUAAUCUCAGACGUUAGCUAGCAUGAGAGCUCGUCGUUGCCGUGCUCAGGUGUUCUUGUGACUUCUGAGAUGCUUUUCUGCUCAGCACUACUGUGUAGAGUAGCUGUAAGACCUUCUCAAGCCAUUACUUCUUACACACCUGCAUGUGAUUCAGGGGUUUACUUUAACCCAGCGAGCUGCGCUAACGGUGUAAACUCACCGCUGUGAAACACACCAACAGGAACGGUGGGCGGAGCCAAACUCCUCCCUCUGGCAACCUGCAGACGUUUUCAGUGCAAGUGUUAAUCUGGUGUUUCGUGCUCAGGACGUCUUAUUACAUCACCGUCAGAGAUCUUCCUCGUUCUGAUUCGUUAUCGUUUCUAUAGCAACAACAUCCGUAAGGACUUGUGUUUCAGAACGCUAUAGUUUUGCUGUUGUUAUGGUAACGUUAAGAACGCUUGUAAUGUUCUAGACACACGUCUUUCAGGGAUGUUCCUCAACAUUGGACGUAACUAUAAACAGAUAAAAUUAAAAAAAAAAGCACAUUCUUUAAUUCAUGAAAAAUCCUGGAAGACUUUAAUUCCUCACGCCAGGAUUUGCACUUAAUCUCCGGAGUACAUUCACACCACAGAGAUUUUCUUAUCUCACCGAAUACGAAUUCGACUCUGAUUGAUUUAAUAAUCAGCGGACACUCGUUCCUUUACUCGCUUUACAACCAAUGAAGCCUCUUCAUCGGUUUCUCAUUCAUCACGAUAAAGAGCUUCUCAGCUUUCUAUCAGCUGGAGCUGUACAGGACUGAUCCCUGGAGUCGGUGCUCACUUUACACAAAGUAAUAGUUUAGAAAAUGGUUUUUUUUUUGUAC